rnacentral:tRNA from 1 species
GGAGACAUGGUUCAAUGAUAGAGCACUUGCCUAUCAAGCAUGAGGCCCUGAGUUUAGACCUAGUAUUGCCA